GAUGAACGCUGGCGGUAUGCUUAACACAUGCCAGUCGAACGGUCACUUCGGUGAUAGUGGCGGACGGGUGAGUAACGCGUGAGAAUCUGUCUUCAGGUCGGGGACAACAGUUAGAAAUGACUGCUAAUACCGGACGUGCCUUUGGGUGAAAGAUUUAUUGCCUGAAAAAGAGCUCGCGUCAGAUUAGCUAGUAGGUGGUGUAAGAGACUACCUAGGCUCCGAUCUGUAGCUGGUCUGAGAGGACGAUCAGCCACACUGGAACUGAGACACGGUCCAGACUCCUACGGGAGGCAGCAGUGGGGAAUUUUCCGCAAUGGGCGAAAGCCUGACGGAGCAAUACCGCGUGAGGGACGAAGGCUUUUGGGUCGUAAACCUCUUUUCUCAAGGAAGAUGAUGACGGUACUUGAGGAAUAAGCAUCGGCUAACUCUGUG
rnacentral:rRNA from 1 species